rnacentral:misc_RNA from 1 species
AGUAGUAGUUCCUUCAGCAUCUUUCCGUCUCACAAAAAUGGCCAAGAAGACGAAGUCUAAGGUGGACACGAUCAACGCCAAGCUCCAGCUGGUGAUGAAGUCCGGUAAGUACGUGCUCGGCACGCAGCAGGCGCUGACGACCCUCCGCCAGGGCCGCAGCAAGCUGAUUGUGAUCUCCAACAACUGCCCGCCGAUCCGCCGCGCCGAGGUGGAGUACUACUGCACCCUCAGCAAGACCCCCAUCCACCACUACUCUGGCAACAACCUGGACCUCGGUACGGCGUGCGGCAAGCACUUCCGCACGUGCGUCCUGUCCGUGACAAAUGUUGGGGACUCUGACAUCGCUGCUUAAAGGAAGGAUAAUGUGAACGGACAGCUUCUCUGUUCUUUUUCGUUUUAAUUUGCGAUUGUUUCCCGAAGAAGAAAAGCAACAAUACCGAAAAGGGACGGAAAAAUGUGCGCUUGACAGAAUGGCAUGUGCGAAGUUGGCGGCAGCGCACGUGCACACCUGAUGAUGGCAGCAGCGGCGACAGUAUGCACGCAUGCGCACACCUGGCAACGCCAGGGACGGAAAGGGAAGAGGAUAGAGAGGGUCAAGUGUCGGAGGAGGACAAGCACAGAAGGGGAGGGGCGAGGUCGUGACGGCGCGCGUGCUUGUUUUGCUCCGACCUCUCUCUCCCUGUGUGUUCCCACCCUCUCUCUUGAUGCUUAUCUGCGCGUGUUUUGCAUAGGCACACACGCGACCCGCGCUGUUGCUGUCCGCUGCCGUCAUGCCACCUCCCGCAUUUCCUCUCCUCUGCACCCGUAGUGCUCGACAAUCGCAGUAAC